UCUUUAUGUACUACUGUGUUGUGCGUUUUUAAAUGUAAUGGCCCAUAUUGAUUACGAAUUCGCUGAAGAAUCCGAAAUGAUAGCCCAGAUAGAAAGAGAGGCCGAAUUAAAUGCAAGAAAAAGGCUUGAAACUACAAACAUACUCAUUCGGGAACAUAUUGAUAGAAACACCAUUGUGGGCAAAAUAAUAGAAGUUGUUGAAAAUGAGGUCUUAAUGG